AAACCACGAUAGGUCAUGAUUUCUGGAAUGGAUCAUGGCCCAAAUCUACAUGGCCCCUGGAUUGGACUGCGGCCGAUCAGGCAGUUGGUGAGGUAAAGGCCCACCAAACCUAUAACCGGUACGGGCUCUGAGAGGAGAAGCCCGGAGAUGGGCACUGAGACAAGGGCCCAGGCCCUAUGGGGCGCAGCAGGCGCGAAACCUCUGCAAUAGGCGAAAGCCUGACAGGGUUACUCUGAGUGAUUUCCGCUAAGGGGAUCUUUUGGCACCUCUAAAAAUGGUGCAGAAUAAGGGGUGGGCAAGUCUGGUGUCAGCCGCCGCGGUAAUACCAGCACCCCGAGUGGUCGGGACGAUUAUUGGGCCUAAAGCAUCCGUAGCCGGUUCUGCAAGUCUUCCGUUAAAUCCAGCCGCUCAACGGAUGGGCCGCGGAGGAUACUACAGGACUAGGAGGCGGGAGAGGCAAGCGGUACUCAGUGGGUAGGGGUAAAAUCCUUUGAUCCAUUGAAGACCACCAGUGGCGAAGGCGGCUUGCCAGAACGCGCUCGACGGUGAGGGAUGAAAGCUGGGGGAGCAAACCGGAUUAGAUACCCGGGUAGUCCCAGCUGUAAACGAUGCA
rnacentral:rRNA from 1 species